GGUUCUCCAUUGAAUUACCGUUGCCAACCACUCCUAUUAUACAUGAGGCUCGAUUUGAACGAACCCACACUACAUCCUCAUUUGAAUUACUCAGUCCCCGAUCUAUGAUGACUCAACAUCAAGGUUUGUUUUAGUUCAAAAACCCUAGAAAGUUCUUACGUUGGUUGUGUGGUUGUUGGAAUUGGUACUCUCGGAAAUUCAUACAUUUUUGUUCAGCGUUAUCUGAGCAACACCCGAAUACGAAAAGAGGGAGAUCUUAGUGAGGUCUUAGUGGAACCAGGGACCACACUCACAUUGAAGGUUGUGACCCCCACUUUGGAUGGAAUCGAAACUAUUGCUGCUGAAACUAAAACCACCCCCGCUGAUGCAAGUGACCAAAGUAAAACAUUAUUAGUCAUGCGUUAUAUUUUGGUGGUUGUCCACUUUUUUGAGAGAGCCUUUGGAGAAGACUUUCUAGUCACAGUUUUGACGGAUGGUAUUUCAACUCUUGUCAAUGAGAUUAAGUUAUUCGGAUUUCUGGAACGUGUGGCACCUGUGAUGGUAGCAGACCCUAGGUUUGUGAAGUGGGUCACACAUACGAUUCCGAUUUUUGAUCUCGCAACAAAGGUUUCCCUUCUUGGCUACAAAGCUUGUCUUACAAGGUGGCAGUUGUGAAUGGUAAGGCGGCAAUUGCGAGUGGCAAGGUUGCUGCUAUGAGAGGGAAGACUCCUGUGACAAGGAAGGCUGUGCUGUGACUAGGAAGGCUUUUGCUGCGACUAGUAAGGCAUCAACUAGAUUUAUCACACCUUCAUUCAUCAGUAUCAUAACUUUUACGCGUUCUGUAUUUUUACUGAUCUCCAUCCCACCGUUGAUCCAUAAUAUACCCAUAAUCUUUAAAAAAACAUUUACCGUACCUGAUUAUUGUUAUUUCUUUACACACGGAUAUUACACCGCCUCUCUCACUAAAAGUAAAACCCUUAAUUAACACAGUUUCACUUACAACUUGUUGCUAAUGGCGUUUUCUCAGUCACUCUUCCUCUCUACUGGAAUUCCUAGCUAUAGGAAGUUGAACAUGAGUAAGAGGCUUGCUCAUUCUCUCUCCGUCUUACCUGCGAAUGAGAGAUUGAACUCUACAAUGGUUAGAGCUAACGAGCAUCGAAAAAUGUAAGCGAUUGUUGAAUGUUGUUUUUUUUUAUUAUUAUUAAAUAAAUAAAUAAAUAAAUAAAUGAUUUUUCAUACUA